GGGUGAGUAACACGUAUGCAACCUGCCCCUGUCAGGGGGACAACCCGCCGAAAGGCGGGCUAAACCCGCGUACAUGCCACCGGGGCAUCCCGGAGGCAGGAAAGGCUUCGGCCGGACAGGGAUGGGCAUGCGGCGCAUUAGGCAGUAGGCGGGGUAACGGCCCACCUAACCGACGAUGCGUAGGGGUUCUGAGAGGAAGGUCCCCCACACUGGUACUGAGACACGGACCAGACUCCUACGGGAGGCAGCAGUGAGGAAUAUUGGUCAAUGGUCGGGAGACUGAACCAGCCAAGCCGCGUGAGGGAUGAAGGUACAGAGUAUCGUAAACCUCUUUUGUCAGGGAACAAAGGCGGGGACGUGUCCCCGGAUGAGUGUACCUGAAGAAAAAGCAUCGGCUAACUCCGUGCCAGCAGCCGCGGUAAUACGGAGGAUGCGAGCGUUAUCCGGAUUUAUUGGGUUUAAAGGGCGCGCAGGCGGUCUGUUAAGUCAGCGGUCAAAGCCCGGGGCUCAACCCCGGCCCGCCGUUGAAACUGGCAGUCUCGAGUUGGAGAGAAGUAUGCGGAAUGCGCGGUGUAGCGGUGAAAUGCAUAGAUAUCGCGCAGAACUCCGAUUGCGAAGGCAGCAUGCCGGCUCCACACUGACGCUGAGGCACGAAAGCGUGGGUAUCGAACAGGAUUAGAUACCCUGGUAGUCCACGCAGUAA
rnacentral:rRNA from 1 species